AACCCAAUGUGAACCAUACCAAACUGUUGCCUCGGCGGGGUCACGCCCCGGGUGCGUCGCAGCCCCGGAACCAGGCGCCCGCCGGAGGGACCAACCAAACUCUUUUCUGUAGUCCCCUCGCGGACGUUAUUUCUUACAGCUCUGAGCAAAAAUUCAAAAUGAAUCAAAACUUUCAACAACGGAUCUCUUGGUUCUGGCAUCGAUGAAGAACGCAGCGAAAUGCGAUAAGUAAUGUGAAUUGCAGAAUUCAGUGAAUCAUCGAAUCUUUGAACGCACAUUGCGCCCGCCAGUAUUCUGGCGGGCAUGCCUGUCCGAGCGUCAUUUCAACCCUCGAACCCCUCCGGGGGGUCGGCGUUGGGGACCUCGGGAGCCCCUAAGACGGGAUCCCGGCCCCGAAAUACAGUGGCGGUCUCGCCGCAGCCUCUCCUGCGCAGUAGUUUGCACAACUCGCACCGGGAGCGCGGCGCGUCCACGUCCGUAAAACACCCAACUUCUGAAAUGUUGACCUCGGAUCAGGUAGGAAUACCC
rnacentral:rRNA from 1 species